GCUAGGUUCCACACUGCUAUCGGGUGAAACAUGAACUAGCCAAACGUCUGAAAACUGCAUUUACUGCGAAAUAAACUCAAUUAUCGCAAGCUUCAACAACUUGUUUGAAUGGAGAAAUCGUGUCUGUGGGAGGUUGCCUUCAAUAUAAUGAACGCCAUCAUCGGCCAUGCAGUUCAACUGCCAUACAGCCUGCAUGGGAAGAAAAGCAAGAGACUGCUUAACAUGCGGCUAUGCAGAGUGGGAACAGAUAGUGCCUGAGAGGCACAGAGAUCGACAUCAAUCAAGCGCAAGACUUCAUAAGAAUGUGGCUGCCAGGCGCCGUCGACUAUAUUCUAAUAGCAGAAGGCGGCGUUACGCCGAAGCGGCUCAACCCGUUCAGCAUCUUCCAAGUGCCCCUUUUGCGAGCCCAGCCUCAACCCCCCGUAGCUUCAUAAACAAAGCUUUCGUAGGUAGCCCACAGGAUUGGGGAUACGAGCAACAAUCUGUAU